rnacentral:lncRNA from 1 species
CACGCAUUCCAGGUCCCACCUACCCACAACAGGCAGAGGAGAGAAGGACGGCCUUGAAAACUGAAGAAGAACGGCUACGAACGGAGAGGAAGGUCUUGGCGUAUAGGGAGGCAACAGAACAUUUCGAGAAAAAUGCCGCGAGGGCUCAUCAUUUGAUUUCAACAGCUUCUAUCCCCGGAAUAUUCCGGCCAGCACCGCGGUGCCAUCCUGCGUCACUAUGCAAAUCCCCAAACGGACACUGUACAGCUUGCUACUGCAGACAAUCGCCUCCUGGCGCCAGCUGCUGCGGCCCGAAGUUGGCUUUUGGGAAACCUGUCGAUGAGUUGCUACAGAUGCAUGCAAGGUCUAACCGCCAGAAGAAGGCAUGAAGCAUACGCUGAUGUACACCCGCAAUGCAAGUUAGUGAAUGAUUGACCUGAGCGUCCAGAAAAGAGGGUGAAAUGUAAAAGGUGUGCUGCCGAGGGACGACUGUAUGCAUGAAGUUAGUCUGAACCAUGCCGUCAAGCUACUCGAUAUUGGGGAUAUAACUAGCAUCUCGUUUGGGUUCUCAAGAGCAUAUGCUCAUGUUUGUUGUUUGCGCGAGGACACUGCGACGGGGUGACCGAAGAGCGAGGAUGCUUCAUCGUAAUCCUUCAACUGUCUUUUGUCAGCAAGAAAAUAUUUUUGCAGCACGGCUACAGAAGAGCACUCUUGCGUUCGAAGUCGGAAACUAAGGAAUGAAACAACUCCUUGUUAUAGUGCCGUUUCGCGGAGGCUGGCGUUAGGCACAGGACCACGGAGUCUCUGAGACUCUUGCGUGGGCCGUUGCUGAAGUUUCCACUGUGUAGGCUAAAAUGCAGUAUUG